UACGAAGGGUGCAAACGUUGCUCGGAAUUAUUGGGCGUAAAGCGCACGUAGGCGGCUUGGCAAGUCGGAUGUGAAACCUCCAGGCUCAACCUGGAGACGCCACUCGAUACUGGCGUGACUAGAGUUCGGUAGGGGAUCACGGAAUUCCUGGUGUAGCGGUGAAAUGCGCAGAUAUCAGGAGGAACACCGGUGGCGAAGGCGGUGAUCUGGGCCGACACUGACGCUGUAGAGCGAAAGCGUGGGGAGCGAACAGG
rnacentral:rRNA from 1 species